ACCCACAAUGCCACCGUCAAGCGGCGGAGCUCCAUCACCCACCACCACUAUGACACCAGCUAUGACUCCAACUUCUUCACCUUCACCCACCAUGGUUCCAACUACCCCAAGCCCAUCAAUGGCACCGACCCCAUCAAUGAGCUCAUCACCUCCUUCACCAAUGGCUCCUACACCAACCCCUUCUUCAAUGGCACCAACCCCAUCAAUGAGUUCACCACCGCCACCAAUGGGUCCUUCUCCGUCUGGUCCCUCCGCCGACAACUCGCCGAUUAUGCCUCCGGUUCAGUCCACACCAAGCUUUGCUGUUUCUACACGUGGAUAUAGCAUGUCUUUGUUUGGUUUGCUUGGAGCUGUGGCACUCUUUGUUU
rnacentral:lncRNA from 1 species